UUUUUUGUUUAUUUUUAUGUUAUUUUUUGUAAAAUAUUUUAAUUUUUUUUAGUUUAUUGUGGUAUCAAAAAUUUGUUUUUUGAACUGGAUUARUACCCAGGUAAUCAAAAUUUAAUAAUUCGGGAGUAAAGUUUUGUUUAAACCGAAAAAAUAUUGACUGACUUUAGAUUUUUCUUUGGAAUAUGUGAUUUGCUGGAGAGCCCUCUUUUUUGGUGAAUUUUAUUGGCACAUGUAUGAUUGUUUAGUUUUUAUUUUAUUUUGUAAUGCUUUUUUGUUUUUGGCAUUUAAAACAGAUAUAUAUUUGGCUUAUGGAUUCAUGUUUCAUGUGUUACUAUUAUAAAUUUUUUUUGGAUUAAUUUUUUAUUUUUUUUUGAAAUUGGAAAAAAAAGUAAUUUUUUCUUGAUGUUUUARUGAAUUU
rnacentral:rRNA from 1 species